rnacentral:rRNA from 1 species
GCUACGGGUGGCAGCAGUGGGGAAUAUUGGGCAAUGGAGGCAACUCUGACCCAGCAAUGCCGCGUGAGUGAUGAAGGUAAUUUUAUUGUAAAGCUCUUUUCUUUGGAACGAAUAAAUGACGGUACCAAAGGAAUAAGCCCCGGCUAACUACGUGCCAGCAGCCGCGGUAAUACGUAGGGGGCAAGCGUUGUUCGGAAUGACUGGGCGUAAAGGGUGUGUAGGUGGUUUGAUAAGUUAGAUGUGUAAUACCCAGGGCUUAACUCGGGUGCUACAUCUAAAACUGUUAGACUUGAGUACUGGAGAGGAUAGUGGAAUUCCUAGUGUAGCGGUGAAAUGCGUAGAUAUUAGGAGGAACACCAGUGGCGAAGGCGGCUUGCUGGACGAUGACUGACGUUGAGGCUCGAAAGCGUGGGGAGCAAACAGGAUUAGAUACCCCUGUAGUC